GAUUUUCUCUGAUAUUGGCCUGGUUCACUCAGAUCCUCUUUACUAAAUCAUCUGAUUGAGCCGUGCCAAUAUCUCAGUCCUCUCU
rfam:Eutrema salsugineum unplaced genomic scaffold scaffold_6, whole genome shotgun sequence.